rnacentral:rRNA from 1 species
GCACUGCCUGCCCAGUGACAAACGUUAAACGGCCGCGGUAUCCUGACCGUGCAAAGGUAGCAUAAUNAUUUUGUNCUCUAAAUAAGGACUUGUAUGAANGGCCACACGAGGGUUUUACNGUCUCUUACUUCCAAUCAGUGAAAUUCGACCUUCCCGUGAAGAGGCGGGAAUAAACAAAUAAGACGAGAAGACCCUAUGGAGCUUUAACUAAUUAGUCCAAAGAAAACAAGCUUAACCAUCAAGGGAUAACAACACCCUCCAUGGACUAACAGCUUUGGUUGGGGUGACCUCGGAGAAUAAAAAAUCCUCCGAGCGAUUUUAAAGACUAGACCCACAAGUCAAAUCAAACUAUCGCUUAUUGAUCCAAAAAUUUGAUCAACGGAACAAGUUACCCUAGGGAUAACAGCGCAAUCCUAUUCAAGAGUCCAUAUCGACAAUAGGGUUUACGACCUCGAUGUUGGAUCAGGACACCCCGAUGGUGCAACCGCUAUCAAA